UGUUUAUUUUUUACAAAAUCAACCGGAAAUCAUUUGGGAAAUGUAUGUGUAUAAUGUUGAAUAAUUUACAAAGUGAUUGUUUCAUCAUAAUAACGCGAAAGUUGAAUCAAUGGUUUUUCGGGUAUACCCAGCAGCUGACUGACCCAUCUGAUCACAUCUUCCAAAUUCAAUGUUUGUGCAUGUAUACGUGCAUGUUGUUUUAUUCCGUUAACUCUGUUGAGAAAGUGAGUUUAAAGAACUCGUAUCUCCCGCGCCUGCAUGUGCUGCCCUAUAUGGGGGGAAAGACAGUUUUGAGCUGUCGACGAGAGGAGCGUGUGUGUGGACGGUUGAGAGGGGGGGAAGGUCAGUCUUCCGGAAAACGUGUCGAGCGUAGUAACGUCGAUUUCUUUUGUAUUAAAUAAAGUUAUCUUUCUUCAUCGCUUAUCAUCAACGUGUACCGUGUACUAAUUGAUCCACUAAAACCAUUCCUGCUCAUCCUGAAUAAUCCAACAAACUCUACAGAACUGUGGCGCGUCCAUGUUCUUCGAAUCCCGGUGAAUCAGUCAAGUGACUCUUAUAAACAUUCAGAAGGCUGAUGAUUUUUACGAUCUUUAUGGAGGUGAAAAAUUUGUCACUCUCUCGGAUCUCGGAGCUCGUCCAGCUUUACAUGGAGAAUGGGUGGACAGUUUUUUGAGAGAAAAAAAACAGUGAACUUAUUCAACUCAAGUAUCCUCUAAAUCGUGCGGAUCCAACAACCUAAAGAUGCGUAGUUUCAUGGACGUUUAUCCGUCAAACAAGACGAAAGUUUGAUGCUCGAGCGAGGAAAGAACGGAUAUUUUCUCGUCCGCGAAUCGCAGAGCAAACCAGAAGACUUUGUUUUAUCGCUCAGCACCACUGAUGAUCGUGUGUUUUUACUCAUGAUAUGAUACGAUCUCGGAUUCGAAAGCAUUCUAUCACCGUUUUGAAUAUCUCAUGAACGUCGAUUUGCUUAAUUGACCGUCACAUUGCAGGUGGAAAGAUCAGCAGGUUUUCAAGAUCUGAAAUAUAACGUUGGUGGGCGCUGGAGAAAUUUGAUAGUUUGAGCAAUCUGAUGGAGCACGUACUACAAAAUAAAUUUCAUGGUUGAAAUAAGCAGGAGUGUUGCACAUGUAGGACAAUCGUUUUGUGCUACGCGAAUCAACAUUAGUGGCAUAGACAUGAGUCGAGUGAAGCAAUUGCGCAAAGAAAAUGGCUGCUGGAACGUUACAGCGACUGACAACGAGGCAACAGCUGCACGUGCGAAAGGAAAAGCUCGUAUUGGGAACAAAUUGAAUCUCUGCAACGGCUCGAAUGUCGUCAUCGUGUCUCGAGGAAAUAUUAGGGUCUUAGAACGAAGAAUCGAGCAAAGAAUCAUCAUAAGAACAUCUUGUUAGCAAUGCCAGUGCUGUAUUCUUGCCAUACAUCUCAUGAUUAUCAAAUCAAAUGCGCUACAGGCCUGUAGUCGCUUAAUUAGUUCACAUCCGUAAAACGGUGAUAAUCUGGGUGACGGUUUUGUUCAACUGUCGAAAACUUGUUUCGCAAAGUCAUUAAAACUUGAUUCUCACUCAAUAUUGGAUUGAAAUCUUGGAAGGGAAAUAAAAACACGUUCUACUUCAAGUUGCCUACAAGAAUGCUGCAACCAAGAAUGAACAUGUCGAAACACUUUUUGAGAUGAUGACUUUGUACUCGGAAUUUAUCAACUCGAUGCUGAGCACUCGAAACUUGAAAGGACAUUCAGUGGAACCAAUUCUAAUUCUCAUUCAUAAGGAUCACUCGACAAUGUCAUCGUCACACAGAUACACCCUCUCUUUACUUGGGAGUUUACAACACGAUUCUUAGCGACACCGAUCAAUUAAUGUUGCUUAGAUCGUGCCUGAGCGUGGCUUCCUAAAAAAUUUACGAUUAUUCUUUUCAUUCGCAACUGCUGUUCUCGUGAUUUCGUUGCCUGCGCUGCCAGCACAGUUACUCAUCGGAGCGGUGCUCUCGCACUAGUUUUUCGUAGCUUCCGGUAGUGCUUACGUGCGACGUGCGUGGAAAUUCGCCUCGUUGCUAACGUACCGCCGUUAUUUCCCGUUUCGACUUUCAUUACUUUCAUUUUAAAGCCAUCAGGCGAUUCCUGGAGAAACAAUUUAUUUUUCACGUAAUUAAUCAAGAUUGUUUAUUCAAAAUAUUACGAUAAUCAUUGAAUAUUUUAUAAAUCGAAUUUGAAAGCUAGGCAUCAUUGUGCGAUUAAGAGUAACUUUGUUUCAUAUUUUCAGAUUAAAAAAAAAGUCUUUGCAUCAGGUUGUUGGUCGCGUCUCGACUUGCCUCGCUCGCUCCCUCGUGCCCUCCCGUCACGACGGACAACCCCCACGAAUCUUGUUUAUUCACCGAUUAAAAUGUCACAAUUCCAAAAUUAACUGUUGCAAUUAUUUCAAAGCUCGUAGCAGAUUGAACAUACUUUUGAAUAAUAUGGCUAUGGCAUGGAACGCACAACUUUAUAAUAUAUGGAUGUUGCACACUCUCAAAUCUGUCGUUAAAAAUCAUAAAUUAGAAAGACUAUUUUCUUGAAAACUCUCGAUGAGCCAUAUAUUUUUUACAAUAAUUCGUAGAGGCUUAUAUUAUUAUAACUCUUAUAAAACCAUUGAGGUAUGCUCUGAUUCGUCAAGAUUUGAACAAGUUGGUGAAAAUUAGCAAAAAAAUGUAUAUGGGGACGUUGACGAUAUCAUUGAUACGUUGGUAAACGACGCUGAAUAUGUUGGCCAGGAUAGAUGAUGAUCCGAAAGUGCUUGAUGACGAAAUGGUAUAGGUAGCUAUAGGUAGCAAAAAGAUAACCUGCUCAGGAAUUUUCAAUUUCCAUGCAGUGAGUAAACGAAUUUUUUAACCUCUUUCAAGAUAAAAUGCCUAAAUUUACGAUCACGGAGAGAAUUUUUAUACCUGAAUUCCAACUAAAAUAUUAUGUACUACCUACGCGUUGAGCAAAUGCCGAAAAAAACUUUGAUCUAUAAUAAAAUUAUAUUUUUAUUCUGAAAACAA
rnacentral:lncRNA from 1 species